AUUGAACGCUGGCGGCAGGCCUAACACAUGCAAGUCGAGCGGAUGAAGGGAGCUUGCUCCUGGAUUCAGCGGCGGACGGGUGAGUAAUGCCUAGGAAUCUGCCUGGUAGUGGGGGAUAACGUCCGGACACGGGCGCUAAUACCGCAUACGUCCUGAGGGAGAAAGUGGGGGAUCUUCGGACCUCACGCUAUCAGAUGAGCCUAGGUCGGAUUAGCUCGUUGGUGGGGAAAAGGCCUACCAAGGCGACGGUCCGUAACUGGUCUGAGAGGGUGAGCAGUCACAGUGGAACAGAGACACGGACCAGACUCACACGAGGGGCAGGAGUGGGGAAUAUGGGAAAAGGGGCGAAAGCCAGAUCGGGCCAUGCCGCGUGUGAGAAGAAGGUCGUCAGAGUGAAAAGCACUUUAAGUUGGGAGAAAGGGCAGUAAGUUAAUACCGUGCUGUUUUGACGUUACCAACAGAAAAAGCACCGGCAAACUUCG
rnacentral:rRNA from 1 species